GACGAACGCUGGCGGCGUGCUUAACACAUGCAAGUCGAACGGAAAGUCCCUGCUUUUGUGGGGUGCUCGAGUGGCGAACUGGUGAGUAACACGUGAUUACCCUGCCCCUCACUUUGGGAUAUCUUCAUGCAACUUGGGCUAAUACCGGAUCGGAUCUCCUGCUUCUUGGUGGUCGUUGGAUAGUUUCGGCGGUUGGGGAUGGACUCGCGGCUUAUCAGCUUGUUGGUGGGGUAGUGGCUUACCAAGGCUUUGACGGGUAGCCGGCCUGAGAGGGUGACCGGCCACAUUGGGACUGAGAUACGGCCCAGACUCCUACGGGAGGCAGCAGUGGGGAAUAUUGCACAAUGGGCGGAAGCCUGAUGCAGCAACGCCGCGUGCGGGAUGACGGCCUUCGGGUUGUAAACCGCUUUCGCCUGUGACGAAGCGUGAGUGACGGUAAUGGGUAAAGAAGCACCGGCUAACUACGUG
rnacentral:rRNA from 1 species